GGCGAUGAAGGACGUGCUAAUCUGCGAUAAGCGUCGGUAAGGUGAUAUGAACCGUUAUAACCGGCGAUUUCCGAAUGGGGAAACCCAGUGUGUUUCGACACACUAUCAUUAACUGAAUCCAUAGGUUAAUGAGGCGAACCGGGGGAACUGAAACAUCUAAGUACCCCGAGGAAAAGAAAUCAACCGAGAUUCCCCCAGUAGCGGCGAGCGAACGGGGAGCAGCCCAGAGCCUGAAUCAGUGUGUGUGUUAGUGGAAGCGUCUGGAAAGGCGCGCGAUACAGGGUGACAGCCCCGUACACAAAAAUGCACAUGCUGUGAGCUCGAUGAGUAGGGCGGGACACGUGGUAUCCUGUCUGAAUAUGGGGGGACCAUCCUCCAAGGCUAAAUACUCCUGACUGACCGAUAGUGAACCAGUACCGUGAGGGAAAGGCGAAAAGAACCCCGGCGAGGGGAGUGAAAAAGAACCUGAAACCGUGUACGUACAAGCAGUGGGAGCACGCUUAGGCGUGUGACUGCGUACCUUUUGUAUAAUGGGUCAGCGACUUAUAUUCUGUAGCAAGGUUAACCGAAUAGGGGAGCCGAAGGGAAACCGAGUCUUAACUGGGCGUUAAGUUGCAGGGUAUAGACCCGAAACCCGGUGAUCUAGCCAUGGGCAGGUUGAAGGUUGGGUAACACUAACUGGAGGACCGAACCGACUAAUGUUGAAAAAUUAGCGGAUGACUUGUGGCUGGGGGUGAAAGGCCAAUCAAACCGGGAGAUAGCUGGUUCUCCCCGAAAGCUAUUUAGGUAGCGCCUCGUGAAUUCAUCUCCGGGGGUAGAGCACUGUUUCGGCAAGGGGGUCAUCCCGACUUACCAACCCGAUGCAAACUGCGAAUACCGGAGAAUGUUAUCACGGGAGACACACGGCGGGUGCUAACGUCCGUCGUGAAGAGGGAAACAACCCAGACCGCCAGCUAAGGUCCCAAAGUCAUGGUUAAGUGGGAAACGAUGUGGGAAGGCCCAGACAGCCAGGAUGUUGGCUUAGAAGCAGCCAUCAUUUAAAGAAAGCGUAAUAGCUCACUGGUCGAGUCGGCCUGCGCGGAAGAUGUAACGGGGCUAAACCAUGCACCGAAGCUGCGGCAGCGACGCUGAUGCGUUGUUGGGUAGGGGAGCGUUCUGUAAG
rnacentral:rRNA from 1 species